rnacentral:sRNA from 1 species
CUGUCAUCUGGAGAAUAAAUUAAGAUUCUUGGCUACUAGGUGGGGGCACAAACCCAGUUACUAUUUUUUAAAAGAUCUCCAGGUAAUCUUGACGAGCAGCACUGUAGUGUAGUCCACUGUAUUGUAGUGCCUUCUUAUCUUGUAGAGCUAUUGUGAGGAUCAGCACCAAUGUCUGUAGAGGCCCUGACACAAUUCCCUAAGCUGAUAUUUGAUAGAGCCUUCCAUAACUGAUUGCUAAAUUGUCUUCAUAAUUUUUCAGUAGCUUCUUUCAAUAAGAAACAUUUCUUUGCUACUAUAGGAAUUUGCAGCACCACCAACAGAUGCCCCUGAUACAGGAUAUGUUGUUCCUAAUGUGGAUCUACCACCCCUGUGUUCAUCGAGAUUCCGGUCUGGACCUCCUGGAGAAGAGGCCCAAGUGGCUAGCCAAUUCAUUGCAGAUGUCAUUGAAAAUUCACAGAUAAUUCAGAAAGAGGACUUAUGCAUUUCUCCAGGAAAGCUUGUCUGGGUUCUAUACUGUGAUCUCAUUUGCCUCGACUACGAUGGAAACAUUUUGGAUGCCUGCACAUUUGCUUUGUUAGCGGCUUUAAAAAAUGUACAGUUGCCUGAAGUUACUAUAAAUGAAGAAACUGCUUUAGCAGAAGUUAAUUUAAAGAAGAAAAGUUAUUUGAAUGUUAGAACUCAUCCAGUUGCAACUUCCUUUGCUGUGUUUGAUGACACUUUGCUUAUAGUUGACCCUACUGGAGAGGAGGAACAUCUGGCAACGGGAACUUUAACAAUAGUAAUGGAUGAGGAAGGCAAGCUCUGUUGUCUUCACAAAC